rnacentral:lncRNA from 1 species
AAUUGCCUAAAAUGUAUAACUGGAAAUUACAAUUACAAUGUCAGAGCAAACAAUAUACAGUAUAACAGCACAGCAGAGACAUGCACAACUGUAACCCAUUAUUGUGAUGAUAUAUUCUAGUAUACCAUGUACAUGACAUUUUACUGUAUUCCACCAUUACCUCAUCUCUCCUGUUCCAGGUGGAACGGCACUGGACAGACGGAAGUCUCCCCAGUCCUCUGGAAGGUUGACAGCACAAGGUCACAUGACCUGGAAGAGAAAACCCAGGAGACUUUUGGGAUCCCUUUUUGAAUGGGCCGGUUAUCAACCUGGAAACAAGUCUAAAGGCUGAUGAACUGAUCUGCACGGAGACGCAGCUGUGCUCGGUCGUCCCCUCUGCUCUCUGCCAAACGGCUCCAUUAAUGCCCUGAGAACCCACGACCUAGCUCAACUCUGGUGAGUAAGGCUACGUUAUCUCUUUUCUUUUCCUACAUGGGGCUCCGAAGAAGCUCUGUACUAAUACUACUAAUUGGAAUUGAGGAAUUGGAAAUUGGCUCGCAAGGGUUUCCCUGAGUUUCCCUGACCCCGUCUCCAUUCCAUACCAUGAUUUUAGUUUUCCUCUUUUG